rnacentral:rRNA from 1 species
GACGAACGCUGGCGGCGCGCCUAACACAUGCAAGUCGAACGGAGCUGAGAGAAGCUUGCUUUUCUUAGCUUAGUGGCGAACGGGUGAGUAACGCGUGAGUAACCUGCCCUGGAGUGGGGGACAACAGUUGGAAACGACUGCUAAUACCGCAUAAGCCCACGAUCCGGCAUCGGAUUGAGGGAAAAGGAUUUAUUCGCUUCAGGAUGGACUCGCGUCCAAUUAGCUAGUUGGUGAGGUAACGGCCCACCAAGGCGACGAUUGGUAGCCGGACUGAGAGGUUGAACGGCCACAUUGGGACUGAGACACGGCCAGACUCCUACGGGAGGCAGCAGUGGGGGAUAUUGCACAAUGGGGGAAACCCUGAUGCAGCGACGCCGCGUGGAGGAAGAAGGUUUUCGGAUUGUAAACUCCUGUCGUUAGGGACGAUAAUGACGGUACCUAACAAGAAAGCACCGGCUAACUACGUG